GCAACCCUGCCAGCCACCCAAAGAUCUUCGAGUUAAGUCUUGCAGAGUUGAAGGGCCGUUAAGUCACCUACUCCUGUAGUUAUUAAACCAACUAAUAAUGGGUAUCGACUCGGUCAAAUAUAAGCGCCCACUUCUCUUAGGAGGAAUCUUGGCCAUAAUGUCAAUAGGCUAUACCUACAGGCUUGAGUUAAUUGGAGACAUUUCCAAAGAGAAAGAAGCACUGUUCCAACAAACUGACGUAGAUGGGAGCAGCAAGAUUAAGAACAGUAUUCGAGAAACUCAUUUAGAAUACUUCAGAAGCUUAACAAGAGACAAAAAAUGAUACCCUGCUUAAACAAAAGGAUUCUUUGUAUGUUUCAGUGCAACAGAAUUUGCAUAUACGUUUGGCUGUGUACUGAUUGAAUUAUAUCCAUGUAAAUAUUUAGAUAUUAGAUUUAUUUUCAUUAUACAUAAUUAUUAAAAUGUUUCUUGAUUUUCAUUGCACACUACAAGACCUUGUGUAAAUUUCUAGUGCAGUACUAUAUAGAUACUGUACAUAAAUUUCAAUUUCUGUGAGGGCAACCAAAAUUCUGAUUGGUGAAGUUGUUUCUGUAGCUGCAAAAAAAUGAAGAUUGGUUCUUGAAAUUUAAAUUGGUUACAGUAUACUGUACUCUCGAUUUAACAGAAUCCGAUACAGUAUAAUGAACUCUUGAUUUAACAGAAGGAUUUUUUUUCCGUUUUUCACCUGAUUUUAGUAAACUAGUUCACUAAAUCGAGAUUAAUUCCGUUAAUACGCUACACCUAUGGAGACACCUCAGACAUAUAAUAAGAACUGUACAUAGAAACAUUAGAAACAUUAUUCAUGGCUUACCUUAAACUAGGGGGUUCGAUGUUUGUUUUCAAUAUUUUCAAUUAUUUACAAACUUUCCAAUUGAUAGCCGCACUCUUUUGACUUUCUCCCCCACACCAUUUCCUUUCCGAGACUUCUGAGAGACUUUCAGCAUGAUGUCUAAGCACAGUACAGAAGUUAGUUGACAGAGAGGUAGCACUGAUCAACACAAGCGGUGGCGGCAGGUCACAGACUGAGCGGAUGCAAACAAACCCCACAUGCCAAGCGGCACAUAUGGUACAGAAUUUAAUGGAUUCACGCUCUAUUUAGCGAACCAGUUCGCUAAAUCAAGCAAAAAUAACGGAAAUUCAACUUAGCAGAAAUUUAAAUUUAACGGAAAGGGGUGGCUCGAAUUAGUUCAUUAUAUUGAGAAAUUACUGUACUUUUAUUGUAGUAUAUGAGGCGUUCCGCAUUACAAGGGGGUAAAGCGCCAAAUUUAAAAAGCGGAGAAAAACGCCUUUAGAGUUUUUCGAAGUUCAAACAACCAUAACUUUGUUUAGCUUUUAAGCUAAAGAGUUAAUUUUUUAUCAUGGAGCUCAAUCCCUCUCCUAGCGAACAGUGAAAACUGGAAGUUAGUACAGGUUGUACCUCUCUAGUCCGGCAACCUCGGGACCUGACCGGUGCCGGACCAUGGAAAUUCAACCUCGAAACACCGUACAUAAAGCACAAAUACAUAAUAUAGGAAAUAAAUAAAUAAGAAAAAGUAAUACUUCUCACACAAGCUCCAUACCGACACCUUUAUCUAAUUUCUGCAAUAGUUCAACCAUUUUCUGGAUAGAUAGUGACUUGUGCUUACGCUUGGAAGCACUAGCACCACUUUCACUGCAUCCGAACUGCCGGAUGUAAACAAACUUUAAUUUCCAACCGCCACUCCGCCAACGCCACGUAGCGGCUAUUGGGCAAACUAAAAUCGUUCCGGGCCACAGAAUGCCGGACUAGAGAGGUACAACCUGUAUACUGUGAAUAGUUAUUAUUUUAUCACGAGUUAAAUGAGAAUACCCCUGUAACUGUCGUGUAUGGUUGUUUGCUCUUCAAACCAACAAUAAUUGCGUUUUUCUGCAAAAAUUUCUUAUUAUUGUGGAUUAAUACUGUAAAACAAGUUAAUGAUCACCAAAAACAACACUCGUCUUACACUCCCCCAAAAAAAAAAAAUAAUAAAAAACUCAUUUGCCUAUCAGUAUUUAUCUUUCUGUCCCUAUUAUUAGCCAAAGAUUUAUAAUAUUGUGUAGUAUAAUAGUGUGUAAUAUGAAGGAAACACCACUACACUCAUACCCCCCCACCAUUAACCUCUCCCCUCCCCCAACGUAAUUAACGUACGAACACAAAGGCAGAGAAAGUUUGCAUAAUCUUGGGUAAAAACAGUACUGUAUUAUGAAAAUAGUAUUAAAAUCUUACUUUGCUUA